AUGUGUGACUGUCUUCCCCGUGUGGCCGUGUCCUCACUUGUAGACGCUUCUGUAAUUCUUGUCUGGUUAUGCUGUGUGGUUAAUACAGCUGACUGUAUCAGUUGUGCGUGUUCUUACUUUAUAGAAAGUGAAACAAGACAUAAAGGAGCUGCGUUCCUCUUCCCUGGACCUCCUGAGAGACUGCCAGGGCCAGCAGCAGGACUGUGGCUCAGAGAUCAUGACGGCCGUCCAGGGCACACAGCGGCACCACGAGGCUGUGCUGGCAUGGCAGUCCAAGGCGGGGUACCUGGAGCAGUCCUUACGGGAGAUAACCGAGCGAUAUCAACUGGAGAAGCAGAAGCGGAAACAGCUCCACAACCGUCUGGUGGUGAGAGUCACUCGUGGGAAGUGCAUCACGUCCUCGCCUGGCGGUUCAGAGGAAGGUGCUCCGGGGAGAGACAUGAGUGAGGCCGUCCAGCACGUGCAGAAGCCUUAGUGGGGACGCACGGGGGUGGGAGGGAUGGCCAGAGGCUGGUGUGGCCAGAGAGGGCUGAGAGGUGGGAGCUGAGCACAGCCGGGCACAGCGCCAGGACACAAGAGGCCCGGAGGACGCGAGGGAGUGAGAUGACGUGACUGCUCCGUCAGAGGCAAAGAUGGGUAAGAAGUGGAUUGCCACCUGCAGGUCCUGGCAAGAGGGGACGAUGACCCGGGCCAGGCUGGUGGCAUGCAGGGGCAGGAUGUGAUCAGACAGCCCCCGGGGACCUCCUGACAGGACAUCUGAGCUAUGGUGUGAGGUGCAAGGAAGAGAGAAGUGGGAAGGGCAGGGUGAGGGGGCAUGCACAGAGACGGAGAGUUCCACUGUAAUUCGAGACCCCCCCUGGGUGGUGUGGAAGACCCUGUGCUUCCUCCCCUGCCAGCACUAGUCAGCCACCUUUCUUCCUGUCCAUUAACAUGGUUCUUAGAUUCGCUUUCUUUCUUUUUUUUUGUGAGGAAGAUUGGCCCUGAGCUAGCAUCUGUUGCCAAUCUUCCUCUUUCUUUUUUUUUUCACUUGAGGAAGAUUGUCGCUGAGCUAACAUGUGUGCCAGUCUUCCUCUACUUUAUGUGGGACGCUGCAACAGUGUGGCUUGAUGAGCGGUGCUAGGUCUGCGCCCAGGAUCCGAACCUGCGAACCCUGGGCCGCCGAAGCGGAGCAUAUGAACUUAACCACUCGGCCACCGGGCCGGCCUCCUGCUCACUUUCUUAAAAGGCGUGAGGUCUGAGAUCCUGUGAAGUUUAAAGUUCAGACUCAGGUUUCCGUUUUCCAACAUGAGGAUGCCAAAGUCACUGAUUUAUCUGAUGAACCUUGCUUCUGGUUGUACCUCGGCCGGUCUCUCCGAACCCCAUUUACCUGGAGCCCCAGAAACCUGCUUUUCCUGAGCUUCUCUCCCGUCCCUGUGCUGGCAGGUCCAUUCGCCAUUGGACGCGUGUGCAAAUAGCUCUCACUUAAAGGCAUCUUGCUGGGGCUCUACACACGGACGCUGGAGCACGUGGGCUGAGUGCUUGCUGUGAACCGGCACUGUUGUAAACACUUGGUGCAUUUUCUUACCGUCUUCACACUGGUGCUGCCUGUCUGAACGGCUGGGAGGACCAGCUGAGGGACGAGGGUGUGCCUCGCACUCCAGAAGUCCCUCAGUAAGGGCAGGGUUUAUCAUCUGGUGUCUGAAAGGAGGCAGAUGGACCGUCCCGGGAAGGAACCGAGUCCAGGAUGGACUGAUGGCCUGUGGGAGGUCCUGCGUGUUCUCAGUGAACCUGGGUCUCCCAGACUGCACACAAAACGUACAAACGGGACUGUCGACCUCACUUCCGCGGGAUCCCAGGGACCCAAGACGCCUUAAGAGCCUGUAAAUAAAUCAGUGUGAAUCAUUUAUUCGGUUUUCA
rnacentral:lncRNA from 1 species